UUGUUUAAUGAUGAUAUAGAUAUCGCCCCAGUCUGAAAUUUUAUGUUGAUUGAUUUUACUGAUUACUA